rnacentral:rRNA from 1 species
ACGGAGCGACGCCGCGUGUGGGAAGAAGGCCUUCGGGUCGUAAACCACUGUCGAAGGGGAAGAUAUUGACGGUACCCUUCGGAGGAAGCCCCGGCUAAACUACCGUGC